AGGACUUUGACGGUAUGUCUGAG
rnacentral:miRNA from 1 species